rnacentral:rRNA from 1 species
GAUUUGAAAUCUGUCCCGUCAGGGUCCGACUUGUAAUCUGCAGAUGGUGCUUCCCGGGGGCACGCGUGCCGCCCAAGUGUACCUGGAACGGUUUGCCGUAGAGGGUGAGAGCCCCGUACGGCGGCGCCGAGCCUCCUCCAGCGAAGCCCAUUCGGAGAGUCGAGCAGUUUGGGAAUGCUGCUCUAAAGGGAGGUAAAUCCCUUCCAAGGCUAAAUACCUGCCGGAGACCGAUAGCGCAGAAGUAGCGCGAGCGAAAGGUGAAUAGAACUCUGAAAAGAGAGUUAAAGCAUGUGAAAUCGUUGAAGGGGAAGCGGUUUCGACCAGACGCGCGCCGGUUGAUCACCCAGCGGUCACGUUGGGGCACUCUGCCGGUGCGGGCCAGCAUCGGCUGGCGGCGGGGUUAAAGGCUUGGGGAACGUGGCUCUUCGGAGUGUUAUAGCCCCUUGCGUAAUGCUUCGUUGCCGGCCGAGGAAUCAGCGCUUCGGCACAGAUGUUGGCGUAAUGGACGACACCGACCCGUCUUGAAACACGGACCAAGGAGUUGACCUUGCGUGCGAGUGUAAGGGUGCAAAGCCCUGACGCGAAAUGAAAGUGAACGUAGGUGGGAGCCUUCGCGGGUGCACCACCGACCGAUCCUGAAGUUUUCUGACGGAUUCGAGUACGAGCACGUUGGGUCUGACCCGAAAGAAGUGUGAACUAUGCCUGGAUAGGGUGAAGCCAGAGGAAACUCUGGUGGAGGCUCGCAGCGGUUCUGACGUGCAAAUCGAUCGUCAAAUCUUGGCAUGGGGGCGAAAGACCAAUCGAACCUUCUAGUAGCUGGUUCCUGCCGAA